CGUGAGGAACUUGUCCCGGUCUCUGGAAUAACAGGUGGAAACACCUGCUAAUACCGGAUGCCGUCGGAUCAUCGCAUGGUGGUCUGACGAAAGGGUUACCGGAUCGGGAGAGCCUCGCGGCCUAUCAGCUUGUUGGUGAGGUAACGGCUCACCAAGGCAUCGACGGGUAGCUGGUCUGAGAGGAUGAUCAGCCACACUGGGACUGAGACACGGCCCAGACUCCUACGGGAGGCAGCAGUGGGGAAUCUUGCACAAUGGGCGAAAGCCUGAUGCAGCAACGCCGCGUGCGGGAAGAAGGCCCUAGGGUUGUAAACCGCUUUCAGCAGGGAAGAAGAUGACGGUACCUGUAGAAGAAGGUGCGGCCAACUACGUGCCAGCAGCCGCGGUGACACGUAGGCACCAAGCGUUGUCCGGAUUUAUUGGGCGUAAAGAGCUCGUAGGCGGUUCGGUAAGUCGGGUGUGAAAACUCUGGGCUCAACC
rnacentral:rRNA from 1 species